rnacentral:lncRNA from 1 species
GUGAAUUCUAAUACAAAACUAAUUCAGUACUCUAACUAAGAUGUUAACAUACAAUGGUCAUAAGUCAUAACUAAAAGUUUGUUCCAAAAUUUGUUUCAAAAAUUGGUGCCCAACGAUAAUAACUAAAAGUUUGUUUCAAAACGUGAGUUUAUUCCAAACGUUUUAAAAUAAAACUGUGUCCAAGCAAUGCACAUUUGGUGGCUAAGGGGGGUUUGCAGGGAGGGAUCAAUACAUACCUUAGUGGGCGGGUGCCUAAUUUUGCAAUGAUGGCGGUGGAGAGAGAUCGUCGGCCUCUGAUGCGAGAAGAGAAAGGAGGGAGUGGGUAGGAUUCUGUUGAUCUGGUCUAGUUGGGGUUUGGUUUGGGGAGGACUGAAGGGAUUUCAGCUAUUUCUAGGCUUUCGAUCGGGCAGAUAGAAAGUUUGGAUUUAGGAUGCUUGUUGCUAGUUGCUUUGGAGGCGUUUCAGAUUCUUUUGUUGCAUACCAGCUAGCUCUGGGAAACAACUCUUUUGGGAUUUGCGUCUGAUUUAUUGCCAGUUGACUGCUGCUCGAGCUGUUCUUUUGUUUUGUUUUGGUUUCUGUAUGGGUUGUUCUGUUGGACUUUGUUUUGCUUGUUUAGUACUAG